rnacentral:rRNA from 1 species
AUUGAACGCUGGCGGCAGGCCUAACACAUGCAAGUCGAGCGGAGCGGCGGACGGGUGAGUAAUGCCUAGGCAUCUGCCUGGUAGUGGGGGAUAACGUCCGGAAACGGGCGCUAAUUCCGCAUACUAUCCGCCGAGCCUAGGUCGGUUUAGCUAGCUGGGGGGGUAAAGGCCUACCAAGGCGACGAUCCGUAACUGGUCUGAGAGGAUGAUCAGUCACACGGGAACUGAGACACGGUCCAGACUCCUACGGGAGGCAGCAGUGGGGAAUAUUGGACAAUGGGCGAAAGCCUGAUCCAGCCAUGCCGCGUGUGUGAAGAAGGUCUUCGGAUUGUAAAGCACUUUAAGUUGGGAGGCGUUACCAACAGAAUAAGCACCGGCUAACUUCGUGCCAGCAGCCGCGGUAAUAC